rnacentral:rRNA from 1 species
UACGUAGGGACCAAGCGUUGUUCGGAUUUACUGGGCGUAAAGGGCGCGUAGGCGGCUUGACAAGUCACUUGUGAAAUCUCUGGGCUUAACCCAGAACGGCCAAGUGAAACUGUCGAGCUAGAGUGUAGAAGGGGCAAUCGGAAUUCUUGGUGUAGCGGUGAAAUGCGUAGAUAUCAAGAGGAACACCUGAGGUGAAGACGGGUUGCUGGGCUGACACUGACGCUGAGGCGCGAAAGCCAGGGGAGCAAACGGG